GACGUAGGGCGCGAGCGUUGUCCGGAUUUAUUGGGCGUAAAGAGCUCGUAGGCGGCUUGUCGCGUCGCCCGUGAAAAUCCGGGGCUCAACCCCGGACUUGCAGUGGGUACGGGCAGGCUAGAGUGUGGUAGGGGAGACUGGAAUUCCUGGUGUAGCGGUGAAAUGCGCAGAUAUCAGGAGGAACACCGGUGGCGAAGGCGGAUCUCUGGGCCUGUCCUGACGCUCAGGCGCGAAAGCUAGGGGAGCAAACAGG
rnacentral:rRNA from 1 species